rnacentral:misc_RNA from 1 species
UAUGAAGAACGCAGCGAAAUGCGAUAAGUAAUGUGAAUUGCAGAAUUCAGUGAAUCAUCGAAUCUUUGAACGCACCUUGCGCUCCUUGGUAUUCCAAGGAGCAUGCCUGUUUGAGUAUCAUUAAAUUAUCAACUGUGCCAAUUUGAUUACAGAUUGGAUGUGGGAGAUUCUUUUUGCAGGCCUUUGACUUCUCUUUGAGAAAAAAAAUAAAAGGUCGGCUCUCCUGAAAUGUAUUAGCAGUGCCUUUGUUGGUUCAUUAGGUGUGAUAAAUUGUCUACAUCUUCGCAUGAUACCUUCAUUUGUAAAGGUCAUAUUGCUUCUAAAUUGUCUUUGAUUGGACGCAAAACAUAUAUAAUGUUUGACAAACUUGAUCUCAAAUCAGGCAGGACUACCCGCUGAACUUAAGCAUAUCAAUAAGCGGAGGA